rnacentral:rRNA from 1 species
AUUGAACGCUGGCGGAAUGCUUUACACAUGCAAGUCGAGCGGCAGCACGGGGGCAACCCUGGUGGCGAGCGGCGAACGGGUAAGUAAUACAUCGGAACAUGCCCAGUCGUGGGGGAUAACACUUCGAAAGAAGUGCUAAUACCGCAUACGUCCUGAGGGGGAAAGCGGGGGAUCGCAAGACCUCGCGCGAUUGGAGUGGCCGAUGUCAGAUUAGCUAGUUGGUGGGGUAAAGGCCUACCAAGGCAACGAUCUGUAGCUGGUCUGAGAGGAUGAUCAGCCACACUGGGACUGAGACACGGCCCAGACUCCUACGGGAGGCAGCAGUGGGGAAUGUUGGACAAUGGGGGCAACCCUGAUCCAGCCAUUCCGCGUGAGUGAAGAAGGCCUUCGGGUUGUAAAGCUCUUUCGGCAGGAACGAAACGGUGAGCUCUAACAUAGCUUGCUAAUGACGGUACCUGAAGAAGAAGCACCGGCUAACUACGUG